UGAGGCCGCAGUCCUGCAGAAGGGCUCUAGACCUGAGACCCCCCACCUGCCCCAUGUUCUCAACCCUCGCUUGCACGUACCCCUGUUGCCAAGUGCAAACUUCAUCAUCCCAAAUGUAUCCCCUUCCUAUAGCUGCCGUGCUCCUAGCCCCAGCCAGAUAAGCAGUUGAUUGCGGGAGUCUAUUAACUAAAGCAAUAUUCUGAGUAAAAGUUUUGAUUCCCUGGGAAAUUUUUAUUUUGCUACUAGCAUUCAACAUAUUCUAUCUAUAUAAAUAAACUUCAACUGAUGCCAGAAAAUAUCAGCUUAUAAUUUGUAGUGAUCACAUCAAAAAGCACAUAAAUUCAGAGUUGGAAAUGCCUGGUGAUAUUAAGUCAUGUUUAAAUUUUAAUGUAAUUUAAACUGUUGACAGAUGCUUGAGACUUCUUUCAUUGUGAAUGACUAAAAUGCUGUCCAAUAUAUGAACAAGCAACUUCUCCACUUAGUUUAUCAGGUUUAAUAUCUUGAAUUUAUAGUAAAGUCACCCACAAGAACUUUGUCAGAGUUAGAAGGCGCCUCAAAAAGCCAUUUGGGCCUGUCACAUACUUUAUUAACUCACUCUUUGAUGAAUGAUAUUUUUAUUGUUUCUGAAGUACCAGAGGAGGAAUUGGCUUAGCACUUCCUUCCCUGAUGGAAAAGAAGUCCGUGUGUAAUGGUUAUCACCAGCGCCAUAACAGGAGCAUAGAAAGAGCCAAGUGCUAGGGAACAACAACAACAAAAAAGCUAUGCCUCCAAAACUGGAUAGCUACAGAUUUUUAAGGAAAGUGCAGAUUAUGAUUCAAUUACAGUCCACACAAUUAACUACUAACUUUCAGAGAGAAGAUCCCCUCUAUGUUAUAAAAAUGCUAAAAAUUAAAUCCUGGGUUUAAUUAACUGUCACAUUUUCUUACCAUGGCCAAUUCUCUAAAUUUUUAAUGCAAAAAAUUAGCCGAAGUAGAAAAGAGCAACUCCUGAGAAAGGCAAGGGAGCCAUCAUUAAAGAUUUCCUUUGGGACAAACAAUAAAGUACUCAUCUAUUUGCUCCUGAAGUCUCUCUCUCUAUCCCUGACUGAUGAAGAAAAUCAGCACUCAAGAAGAAAUUGAGCUUUGAGAGAGAGAGGAAAGAACAGUCCCCAUUCUGUUUGUCAGCCUUGUUUUCCACCAUCUUGGCAACCACCUGUUCUCUCCCUUAGUGGCCUCAUCUCCUGAGCCAGAAGGCAGACCACUGUUCGGUCCCUUCACUUCCGAAGCCAUGGAUUCUUGUGCUACUGAGUGCUCUCCCUUAAAUUAAGGUCCAAAGUGAUACAUGGUCCUGGGAGAGGUACACUGGGCCUAGACAGUGUGGCUGCCCGUUUCCUGGAGAUGAAACAUUUCCAUCUGAACAGUUUUGGGUGAUCUUAAGGAGAGUUACUCAGUCAGCUCACAUGCCACGCUGGUCAUAAAAGAUCUGUUCAGACUCACUGGUAGACAGUGACGAGGUAGACACCCCCAAGCCCUCCACACCAGGGCCUCCCCACCCCUCCCACACGUGGACCAUCGGAGUGAGCAGAGCCCAUGACCCGUGCUGGGAUCUGCACCAGGAGGGGCCCUGGGCAGAACAAGAGGCUUUGAGUUUAAUUAGGCUCUGGCCUCUGCCCACAAUUUCAGAGCACAGAUACAGAACUGGCCUUCACUGUGGGAAAAGUAGCUCCUGCAGGGUAGAGUUGUUUUAAUGUUCUAUUUACAGAAAGAGAAAAGGACUCCAGUCUGCUGGUGGUGUUAAGCCCUUGCCCCUCACUCCAGCGGAGCCUUUCCUAUGCUUUGGGCACAGAAAACUGGAACAGGAAGGAAAGACGCGGAGCUCUUAGGGCCUGUGGCUGCUGGAGCCAAGAGUCUCAAUUACCCUCAGGGAUCUACAGUGGAGCUUCACACUGAACUACCCCCCCGCCACGCAUAACUGCAGAUUACACAUCCUUAUUUUGUUCCCUUAUAUUCUGCCUACUGGAAAUCAAUGGCUAUGACUUGACCAAGCCCUGUGAUGAUGGCAAAGUCCCUCUUCCGACAGCAUCUUGACAGGAAACUCCUUGAACACUGGUAGAAAGCUUUAGAAUAGACUUAGGUUUUGUAAGAGAAAAUUCAAUAACCCCAGAAUAUACUAGUUCCAUGACAUCAAUAACUGAAAAAUGCCCUGGGUGUAAACUCAGGAAUGUGGAUCAUAUAUAUAAAAGUAUAUAUACCAUUAAUCCAUAUUUUCCUACAAUACACCCUAAAAUUCCUAUUUUUGUAAUUAAUAGUUGGACAGUGGUCAGCCACUUAAACAAAUAUUCUCUGGAAUAACCAGACCCUAGUUUAGUUUCCAAAGCGUUUCAUAUAACAAAAUCCUAUAUACUUAGAAGAACAACUCAGGAUAAGGAAAAAAUUGCUAAGUCCCAAAGGGUUCAAGACUAUCAUCAAAUAUGACUUCCAAGUGGCCUGUGGUCAUUUCAUUCAAGCAAGGGGGCUGGGGGGAGAGAGAACAAAAGGAAUCACAAAACCUCUGUUGCCCUUAGUCCACGGUAAGGUUUAAGAAAACUCUGCUUUUAAAAUUAAGCCAUCUUUCAAAUUGUUUUCUAUACCAAAUCUACAAUAUUAAAAAGAAAUUACUGAAUAUUUAAAGUGGGGUAGUUAGUAGAAAUGCUAUCAGUAGAAAAAGCAUUGUUUUUUUAGUGCCUGCUAAACAAGUAACAAACCAACCACACAGACUGAAGAGCAAGCAGUCCUUCCUGUGGGACACUGUUGUUACAAUGACAAGUGUUAGCAUGUAUGGGCACUAAUUCAAAAGUGACGUGGCAAUGCUAUCCAGUGCUUAGAGAUUUUUGAAGUACAGUCUUGCCACCAUUCGGGGUAAGUACUUCCUUACAAAAGUUUUGGAUAUUAGUGAAUGAAUGUAUGGAAUUAUAAACUAUGCAUUUUCAAAGAGUAACAUGUAUUUUGUAUUGAAUCCAAGUAAAUUUUUUGCAUAGAGACUUACCACAACUGCAAAUUAUUCAAACUAAACUUGAAUGCAUGUCCUUAUGGGGACGAGGGAUGCCACCUUGUCCUUCUGCUUGUGUUUUUAAAGACAGUGCAUUGAAACUUCGCUCUGAAACUCCGGGCUCUAAACAACUAAGUCGCUGAAGUGAACAAUGGGAAAUGGUUUGUAUUUUACUUCUUAAGCGUAAAUGAGAAAUGCUGCCUCUUAGAAAAUGUGCCCAGUCCCUUAGAGGCAGGUAUUGUAGCAACACCAGAUUAGCAAGCAAGUGAAACUGUGGAGUUAACGAGUACUGCAUUGGAGAGAUACGGCAUAGGUUUCAUCGCCUGUGUUUCUCAAUCCAAGAAAAAGAAUUUCAAAAACUUUGGGUUAUAUGAUUUUUAAGGUCAAAAUAUUAAACUAUUGUCUGAAAAAGCAAAUAUUUUUUCAAAAUUACGUGAGGAUACUUGUGAUUUAAAAAUUUAUAUAAGCCACCUAAAUUUCUUUAGCCCCUUUGCCAAUAUUUUCAUGAAAUCUUUUCUCCUAAUAAUUUCUUUGCUCCUUAAUCAGUGCUUUACUACAUUACUCAGCAGCAUUUUUUUAAAUUCUUUCUUCAUCUGAUGACACAGAAAUAACUCCCUAUCUCUGCUAUUCUGGUUCUCUUCUGUCUGUUGAGAACGUUCUUCAACUGUCUGUACAAUAUGGAGAACACACUUCUAAACCUGGUACUUAGGAUCACGCUAGAUAUGUUUGCUACCUAAUUAGAAGUUAGUUUGGGAGGGGCAGUCUGUCUUUUUACGUGAUUUUGAGCCAAAUGCAGACGUUCUGAUACAUUUCAGAAUACUUUUCUGACUGUAAAUACAGCCUGUGGAGGUUCAGGUUAACCAGCCUUUUCUGUGACUGUUCUGCAGCCUUGCUCCUCGUCGCUCUUGGCACCUUGUAUAUAGAUUUGUUGAAUGUCUCAAUGAUGUUGUUUUUCUAAAUGCUGUUCUCUAAGACAAUUUUUUGAAUGUUUUUUGCUUUCCAUUGUUUUGGACGCUGUGUGUUAGUUUUACAAAAUGUUUCCUAAAUAUUUAACACCAGGAAAAAAUAUUUUAAAAUAAACUGGUGCUAAUUGGAACAGAAGGAAAUUUUCAGCUUUGAAGAUUUACCAGAGAAAAUGUUCACACCAGUUAAACUGCACUUUCCCAAGGAGACAGCUGGCAUCUACUUGAAAUGGCCAUCAGGAAGACCACCGAGUGUUUACAGUGUCUGUGGCCCAUGUGAGUGUAAAAUCCAGAAGAGGCUCUGUCCCCCGCCCCCAAGCGGAGGGGUUGCUACAUUGGUCCUCCAGAAGCAUUUAGGUAGAAGGAAACGCUUAGAAUAAGAAUCACUUUAGUAAUAGUCUUCUGGUCUUUGGACUUUCAUGUUCUGUAAUGCUUAGCUGUAACAAUGAAUAUGGUGUUGCCAAUCUAGUCUGACAUCAUCGUUGACCUGUAUUUACAUUGUGUAUGGUUCUACCUUGGGUUGUACUGGCACGAAUCAAGCCAGAACACAGGACUUUCAAUAAGACCAUUCUGACUUCUACGGUGUCCACACACAUGAAUUUAAAUGCACUUGUACCUGGUUAAUUACCAUGAAGUAAGUCUAACUUCCACAAUAAAAGUUUUUGUGUAUCUGCUUCUA
ensembl:lncRNA